GUGGGGAUAGCUCAGUGGUAGAGUGCAUACCUAGCAUGUACAAGGUCCUGGGUCCAAUCCCCAGUACCUCCA
rnacentral:tRNA from 1 species